rnacentral:rRNA from 1 species
GACGAACGCUGGCGGCGUGCCUAAUACAUGCAAGUCGAACGCUCCGUCGCUCACCUUGCUUCUCUCAUGUUAGCGACGGAGGGGGGCGUAACACGUGGAUAACCUACCUAUAAGACCGCGAUAACUUGGGGUAACCCGAGGUAACAGCGGAUAAUAUUUCGAAACGCUUUGUUCAGAAGGGAAAGACGGUCAUGCUGUCAUUUGGAGAUGGAUCCGCGGUGCAUUAGCUAGUUGGUAAGGUAACGGCUAACCAAGGCCACGAUGCAUAGCCGACCUGAGAGGGUGAUCGGCCACACUGGAACUGAGACACGGUCCAGACUCCUACGGGAGGCAGCAGUAGGGAAUCUUCGGCAAUGGGCGAAAGCCUGACCGAGCAACGCCGCGUGAGUGAUGAAGGUCUUCGGAUCGUAAAACUCUGUUGUUAGGGAAGAACAUAUGUGUAAGUAACUGAACGCAUCUUGACGGUACCUAAUCAGAAAGCCACGGCUAACUACGUG